rnacentral:rRNA from 1 species
AGAGUUUGAUCCUGGCUCAGAACGAACGUUGGCGAUGCGUUUAAGGCAUGCAAGUCGAGCGAGAAGCUUUCUUCGGAAAGUGGAGAGCGGCGAACUGGUGAGUAACACGUAGGCAACCUGCCCUUAAGAGGGGGAUAGCUCCUGGAAACAGGGAUUAAUACCCCAUAGUCAUUGAUGUCAUAAGAUGUUAAUGUAAAGUGGCAACACACUUAAGGAUGGGCCUGCGUCCCAUUAGCUAGUUGGUAAGGUAACUGCUUACCAAGGCGACGAUGGGUAGCCGACCUGAGAGGGUGAUCGGCCACAUUGGGACUGAGAUACGGCCCAGACUCCUACGGGAGGCAGCAGCUAAGAAUCUUCCGCAAUGGACGAAAGUCUGACGGAGCGACAUCGCGUGAAGGAUGAAGGCCCUCGGGUUGUAAACUUCUUUUAACACUGAUGAACGACUGACCGUAAGUGUUGAAUAAGCCUCGGCUAAUUACGUGCCAGCAGCCGCGGUAAUACGUAAGAGGCAAACGUUGUUCGGAUUUACUGGGCGUAAAGGGUGAGUAGGCGGAAUGUUAAGUCUAAGGUGAAAUCCCGGGGCUCAACCCCGGUCCCGCCUUGGAUACUGGCACUCUAGAGUAUGA